UACAGAGGUCUCAAGCGUUGUUCGGAUUCAUUGGGCGUAAAGGGUGCGUAGGUGGCGGGGUAAGUCAGGUGUGAAAUCUCGAGGCUCAACCUCGAAACUGCACUUGAUACUGCCUUGCUCGAGUACUGGAGAGGAGAUUGGAAUUCAUGGUGUAGCAGUGAAAUGCGUAGAGAUCAUGAGGAAGACCAGUGGCGAAGGCGGGUCUCUGGACAGUUCCUGACACUGAGGCACGAAGGCCAGGGGAGCAAACGGG
rnacentral:rRNA from 1 species